CCUCUUCCUGGCCACGGAUGUUGAACUUUCUGUAGGAACAAAUAAAUAACACGCAAGAUAUAAAGACAUCCACACACAAGAUAUUUUAUCACUUUCUGCACCUUGGAGGCAAGACGACUUAAAAUCUCCGAGAGUAAGAAUGCGCGGGCUGUUGGUGCUCCCCCUACUGUUGACGGUGGCGGUGGCCACGGACUUUUUCCACCAAGUCAUGCCAGGUGAGAAGUGUGUACACCAGGAGAUGACGUAUGGAAACGGUGACCCAAUGGCACUGGGACAAGUACCCCCGCCGAUGACGUCUGCGCCUACUGCGAAUGCAUCAGUCCUAUCUCCGAGGGACACGUCGGUAUCGUCUGCAGGAAGACCACGCCUCCUCCGGCCCUCCCCGGCUGCCAGGUAUACCAAAACCCGGAGGACUGUAGCAACUUCCCCAUGGUCUGUCCUAACAUGGACAUCAACACCGACCUGGACACCUCCCAGCUCAUUGGGCCACUGUGAGCACGGAAUUCAAACGAAGGGCCUUCAUAAAGCUGCGUUAUAUUGCAGUUGAUGAAGACGGCCCUCUUGGGGAAUAAAACCUGCUGAUGAAAAA